rnacentral:misc_RNA from 1 species
GAAAUGCGAUAAGUAAUGUGAAUUGCAGAAUUCAGUGAAUCAUCGAAUCUUUGAACGCACAUUGCGCCCGCCAGUACUCUGGCGGGCAUGCCUGUUCGAGCGUCAUUACAUCCCUCAAGCCCCUGCGGCUUGGUGUUGGGCAUCGGCCGUCCUCAGCGGCGGCCGUGCCCCAAAUACAGUGGCGGUCUCGCCCCCGGCUCCUCUGCGUAGUAGUAACACCUCGCACUGGGACGGAGCGAAGGCCACGCCGUAAAACAACCCAACUUUCUGAAUGUUGACCUCGGAUCAGGUAGGAAUACCCGCUGAACUUAAGC